GACGAACGCUGGCGGCGUGCUUAACACAUGCAAGUCGAACGGAAAGGCCCUGCUUUUGUGGGGUGCUCGAGUGGCGAACGGGUGAGUAACACGUGAGUAACCUGCCCUUGACUUUGGGAUAACUUCAGGAAACUGGGGCUAAUACCGGAUAGGAGCUCCUGCUGCAUGGUGGGGGUUGGAAAGUUUCGGCGGUUGGGGAUGGACUCGCGGCUUAUCAGCUUGUUGGUGGGGUAGUGGCUUACCAAGGCUUUGACGGGUAGCCGGCCUGAGAGGGUGACCGGCAACAUUGGGAUUGAGAUACGGCCCAGACUCCUACGGGAGGCAGCAGUGGGGAAUAUUGCACAAUGGGCGGAAGCCUGAUGCAGCAACGCCGCGUGCGGGAUGACGGCCUUCGGGUUGUAAACCGCUUUCGCCUGUGACGAAGCGCGAGUGACGGUAAUGGGUAAAGAAGCACCGGCUAACUACGUG
rnacentral:rRNA from 1 species